UCUCUGGUGUGUGCAAGCAUAUCGGAAGGAAAGGGCGUAUUUAUUAGGUACAAGACCACACGGGUUUCGGCCCGGUAUCGACGAUUCAUAAUAACUAAACGAAUCGCAGGCACACGCCGGCGAUGUUACAAACGAGUUUCUGACCUAUCAACUUUAGAUGGCAGAGUAGGGGUUUGUCAUGGUGACAACGGGUGACGGGGAAUUAGGGUUCGAUUCCGGAGAGGGAGCCUGAGAAACGGCUACCACUUCCAAGGAAGGCAGCAGGCGCGCAAAUUACCCAAUACCAAUUCGGUGAGGUAGUGACAAGAAAUACCAAUGUAGGACACAACGUGUACUACGUUUGGAAUGAGUACAAUUUAAAAACCUUAACGAGGAACAAUUGGAGGGCAAGUCUGGUGCCAGCAGCCGCGGUAAUUCCAGCCCCAAUAGUGUAUAUUAAAGUUGCUGCGGUUAAAAAGCUCGUAGUUGGAUUUCGGAACGCACAGAGUCAGAGCCCAUCCUUAGGGGUGCGUGCUCGACCCUUGCUUCCUACCUUCCGGUAACGCGUGAUUCCUCUUCGCGGGGGAGUUACGAGGUUCCGGAUCGUUUACUUUGAAAAAAUUAGAGUGUUCAAAGCAGGCGUAACUUGCAUUCGAAUACAUUAGCAUGGGAUAAUAGAAUACGACUUUGGUCUUAUUUUGUUGGUUUCUAAGGCCGAAGUAAUGAUUGAUAGGGAUAGUUGGGGCUGCUCGUAUUGAGUUGUCAGAGGUGAAAUUCUAGGAUCUACUCAAGACGAACUAAUGCGAAAGCAUUCAGCAAGGAUGUUUUCAUUAAUCAAGAACGAAAGUUGGGGGAUCGAAGAUGAUCAGAUACCGUCGUAGUCUCAACCAUAAACUAUGUCGACCGAGGAUCCGGUAUCGUUACAUGGAUGACCUUCCAGGCACUCUGUUAGAAAUCACAAGUAUUUGGAUUUCGGGGGGAGUAUGGUCGCAAGGCUGAAACUUAAAGGGAUUGACGGAAGGGCACCACCAGGAGUGGAAUCUGCGGCUUAAUUUGACUCAACACGGGAAAACUUACCAGGUCCGGACACAGUGAGGAUUGACAGAUUGAGAGCUCUUUCUUGAUUCUGUGGGUGGUGGUGCAUGGCCGUUUUUAGUUGGUGGAGUGAUUUGUCUGGUUAAUUCCGUUAUCGAACGAGACCUUGACCUACUAAAUAGUUGUGCGAACUCGGUUCUUCGAGCUGACUCUUCGGGGAAGGUAAGGGAACCGUCAACGUUCGCAAAAGACUUCUUAGAGGGACUCUUCGCAUCUCUAGCGAAUGGAAGUUUGAGGCAAAAACAGGUCUGUGAUGCCCUUCGGUGUUCUGGGCUGCACGCGCGUUACACUGACGCAUGCAACGAGCUUUAUUCCUGGCCCGACGGGGUUGGGUAAUCUUUUUAAAGUGCGUCGUGAUGGGGAUAGAACAUUGCAAUUAUUGUUCUUGAACGAGGAAUUCCUAGUAAUUGCAGGUCAACAACCUGCGAUGAUUACGUCCCUGCCCUUUGUACACACCGCCCGUCGCUCCUACCGAUGGUUGAACCGAUGAGGACUCGGGACAUUUGGGGUUCCCGGUCGGCCGCAAGGUCGAUCGCCCUAGGUGAAACUUGUUCAAAUCUUUUUAACUAGAGGAAGGAGAAGUCGUAACAAGGUU
rnacentral:rRNA from 1 species